CUUUACUUUUGGAAAACAUACAAACUUUAUGCUCAGUUCUUGAGACUGGGGAGAAUGGAGCAGAUAAUUUGAGUUUUUAAAAAUAUUUUUCUCUUUAUAAUCUGAUAAUCCAGCUACAAGAUUCCUUUGAUAGUUAAUAGUUGCUCACACAACUUUUGCCUUGUAACUUUUUUGUGAUUUUCAAAUGCCUGAAGUAUAAAUGAUACUUUCAAAGAUUCACCUCUUGGCCCUAAAUUUGAAAACAGACAAGGAUAUAUAUAUAUAUAUAAAUGUUUUUUAAAACUCUUAUUCACACCACUUUGCAAUGUUCUAAAAGUAAUGUAUGGCUAUAC